AGCGAACGCUGGCGGCAGGCUUAACACAUGCAAGUCGAGCGGGCAUCCUUGUGGUGUCCGCGGCAGACGGGUGAGUAACGCGUGGGAACGUGCCCUUCGGUUCGGAAUAACUCAGGGAAACUUGAGCUAAUACCGGAUACGUGCGAGAGCAGAAAGGUUAUCUGCCGAAGGAUCGGCCCGCGUCUGAUUAGCUAGUUGGUGAGGUUACGGCUCACCAAGGCGACGAUCAGUAGCUGGUCUGAGAGGAUGAUCAGCCACACUGGGACUGAGACACGGCCCAGAGUACGAGGGGGGGCAGGGGGGGAGAAUAGAGGAAAAGGGGGUAAGCGCUAAUCGAGAGGUGCGGGGUGAGUGAGGACGGCCUGAGUGUAGAAAAGCGCUUGUCCGCGGUAAGAAAAGGGCGGCACCGGAGAAAUAAGCCCCGGCGAACGGCGGGGAAGAAGCGGGGAAAAGAAUAGGAAGAACAAGCGUCAGAAC
rnacentral:rRNA from 1 species